rnacentral:rRNA from 1 species
UACGUAGGGUGCAAGCGUUGUUCGGAAUUACUGGGCGUAAAGGGCUCGUAGGCGGCCAACUAAGUCAGACGUGAAAUCCCUCGGCUUAACCGGGGAACUGCAUCUGAUACUGGAUGGCUUGAGUUCGGGAGAGGGAUGCGGAAUUCCAGGUGUAGCGGUGAAAUGCGUAGAUAUCUGGAGGAACACCGGUGGCGAAAGGCGGCAUCCUGGACCGACACUGACGCUGAGGAGCGAAAGCCAGGGGAGCAACGGG